rnacentral:sRNA from 1 species
UAAAGACCAAGUAUUAUUGUGAAUGAGG